CAGAUUACACACAGACAGAACACAGACCUUACAGAUAUUUCACUGAAAUAGGUUUUCUACUUAUAUUUUGACUUAGGACUUAGAUUUAUGCCGGGGAAAAAACCUUUGUUAAAACAUCAGAUCAGUGGACUCAGACAUUUGGACCCCACUGUAUAUAUUUUUAAUACGGUAAAUAAUAAAACAAAAAAACAGUAAAGGGUUGAUUUUGAACUGAGAAAACUAUGUUCCAAAGACCAUCGCACUUAGUAGUGUGCCACCCACAUGCCUAUAUUUUUUACUAAUCAUCCUCGGUCAAUGUCUGUUUUUAACAGCAAUAAAAUAGGACAAGGGCGUUCCAUCAGAGGACAGCACAAGUCCCUUACAGCAAACCACUUCCGCCACUUCAGCUACUUUCUCUUCUGAUUCCUCCGACUCGUCAUCCAACUCUUCAUAUGACUCUUCCUCCACAGAUGAGGGACAGAAGAAGAAAAAGAAGAACAGCAAAACAGUAAAGAGACGGAAGCAGGGGAAACGGGGAAAGAAAAGAAAGGAGCAAAGUGUUCACCAGAGAGCUCGAGAUCCUGAAGUGGUGGCCCGAUACCGAAAGGUGUUGAAAAUCUGCCGGGAGGUAAGGACCAUGGGGGCUGCUUUCAGAGCUGUGGGUGUUGACCGCAACACUAUUGUCGUGAAUGCCCCAAUGGCAGAACUUUGCAUUGCUGCCCCAGAAACAUUUGCAGAGCUCAGAGAGAGGUGCUCCAAGAAGGAGAAGCUCAGUUGUUUUACACAAAGGUAUAAAGAUGCCAUUGAGGGUGAUGUCAGCAUUAUUACAAAAAUUAAAGCGUUCAAAGACUCUGGCAAACUUCUGCCAAUAAAUAAAGGCAAGUGACUGGCGGAUCACCUUAGUUGUAUUUGCAUUGUUGCAUUUUUGUUGUUGUUCUUGUUGUAUUUAGCAGAUUAGAACGCAUGGUUAAAUGUGCAUUUAUUGUUAGUGUAGUUUUUUCAAAUAAAUGUUUUCCAAUUUCACUUUA